CUACGGGGUGCAGCAGUAGGGAAUAUUGCACAAUGGGCGAAAGCCUGAUGCAGCAACGCCGCGUGUGCGAUGAAGGCCUUCGGGUCGUAAAGCACUUUUUGAGAGGAUGAGAAAGGACAGUACUCUCAGAAUAAGUCUCGGCUGAACUACGUGCCAGCAGCCGCGGUAACACGUAGGAGGCAAGCGUUAUCCGGAUUUACUGGGCGUAAAGCGCGUGCAGGUGGUUUGGUAAGUUGGAUGUGAAAUCUCCCGGCUCAACUGGGUGAGGUCGUUCAAAACUGCCAAGCUAGAGGACGGUAGAGGAAAGUGGAAUUCCCGGUGUAGUGGUGAAAUGCGUAGAUAUCGGGAGGAACACCAGUGGCGAAAGCGACUUUCUGGCCCGUUCCUGACACUAAGACGCGAAAGCUAGGGUAGCAAACGGGAUUAGAUACCCCGGUAGUC
rnacentral:rRNA from 1 species